rnacentral:rRNA from 1 species
UACAGAGGGGGCAAGCGUUGUUCGGAAUUACUGGGCGUAAAGGGCGCGUAGGCGGCCUUCUAAGUCGAACGUGAAAUCCCCGGGCUCAACCCGGGAACUGCGUCCGAUACUGGAAGGCUUGAAUCCGGGAGAGGGAUGCGGAAUUCCAGGUGUAGCGGUGAAAUGCGUAGAUAUGGGGUGGAACACCGGUGGCGAAGGCGGCCAUCUGGACGACAACUGACGCUGAGACGCGAAAGCGUGGGGAGCAAACAGG